GGCGAACGCUGGCGGCAGGCUUAACACAUGCAAGUCGAGCGGGCAUCUUCGGAUGUCAGCGGCAGACGGGUGAGUAACACGUGGGAACGUACCCUUCGGUUCGGAACAACUCUGGGAAACUGGAGCUAAUACCGGAUACGCCCUUAUGGGGAAAGGUUUACUGCCGAAGGAUCGGCCCGCGUCUGAUUAGCUAGUUGGUGGGGUAACGGCCUACCAAGGCGACGAUCAGUAGCUGGUCUGAGAGGAUGAUCAGCCACACUGGGACUGAGACACGGCCCAGACUCCUACGGGAGGCAGCAGUGGGGAAUAUUGGACAAUGGGCGCAAGCCUGAUCCAGCCAUGCCGCGUGAGUGAUGAAGGCCUUAGGGUUGUAAAGCUCUUUUGUCCGGGACGAUAAUGACGGUACCGGAAGAAUAAGCCCCGGCUAACUUCGUG
rnacentral:rRNA from 1 species